UUAUCAAAACUAACAUGCAUGUGUUUAUGUUUUCCUGUUAACCGUUAAUUUUCUCAAAUUAUUAAAACGUUACAUUAUUCUAUCAAUGUGACAUGAACUAUUAUUGUAUAUUUAUUUUUAAUUCUCAGAAUUAUAUAAAAUGGAACCUUUGUUACCUUCAGAAAUUGCACGACUUAUUUAUGGUUAUUUGAAAAAAGAAAACAAUGUCGCUACAGCUGAAUGUUUUUUGAAAACUUCUCCUCAUUUAAAAGAAUGUUAUCAAAUGUUUCUAACCAAACGAAAUUUUAAUAAUAAAGUUAAUGGAUUGAGUCUAAAUGAUGUUUUUGAUAGUUUUGGGACCAUGUGUAGUUUAAUAAAUCGUGCAACUCCUGAUGAGUAUGAAUCAAAGACAAUUGUAGAAAAAUUGCAAUAUAUUCUGGACUUGAGUUUUGUCAAAUUAUCUAUGAAAGUGGACAAAUGUAUUGAAACUGAUGACACUGAAAAUUUAGAGUGUAUAAAAGAAAAGUCAAUCCUUAAAUGCAAUCAAUUUAUCUCAGAAUCUAAUACAUUUUUAAAUGUAGUAGAUAUUUCUUCUACUGAACCAAGUCUAACUAUUUCUUUUGAAAAUAACAAAAAUGAAAAAUGUUCAAUUUCUCAUUCCACACCCUGUUCAAAUUUCAAGUCAAAACUAAAUGAUAUAACUAAUAUCGUAACAAAUGUUUCACCAGAAAUACAUAACAGUAAUAACAUUACAAUGGGCCAACAAGUUAGUCCAAUAUCAAAACCAGCAGAAGAAACAAAAAUUUACUAUACAUCACCAAAAAAUUUAAACAUUGCAAACCAAUUAUCUGUUAAAAAACCAGAAACAUUAUUACCUGAAGCAACAUCUAUUGAAGUAAUUCCAUGUAUGUUGGAAAGAGAACAAAGAGAAGAUUUAAAUAAUGAAAUACAAAUUGAUAAUGAUGAUUUGUCCGGAAAAGGAGAGAGACAACCUUGUAAAACUAUUAUACCUGAAAUAGAUUUAAUAACACCAUAUAUGAAUGACAAAGAUAAAAAAAGUUACAUUAUUCCAAAUUCUGCUAAACAUAAUAUUAAAACGAAAAAUGUAUUGGAUGAAUCUUUAGAUAACAUGAAUUCUAAGAACAAAGUUUUGGAUAAUAAUAUAAAGUCAAGAUUACGUAGUUCAAAAAAAAAAGUUAACAAUUUAAAAAAAUCAAAAUGUAAACAAAGUAUUCAAACAGAUAAAAAAAGUACUGAAAAUAUUGAUGAUCACAAUAUUUUACUUAAUGAUAACAAUGAUUCAUCUUUGUUUGACAACUUUAAUACUAAAAAUCAAAGUGAUAUUUUGCCCAAUAAUUCCUCAAGCUUAACACAAAAUUUAGCAUCUUUAAAGUCAAAAACAAAAUAUGGUAUUGUAAAUAGAAUGAAUGAUCAUUUGAAAUUUGAAAGACAUCAAUUAAAAAUAUCUGAAGUUUUACAUACAUCUAAUAACAUUGAUUCUUUUAAUUCAGUUAAAAUUCCUAAUCAAAAUAAAACUAACAAAGUAGUUAGUAAAAUUAAAUCAUCUAACAUUUCAAAUGAAUUAAUAAUGUUUAAUGAUUCUAUUUCACAUGAUACUCCUGAUGAUAUCCAAAAACCUCCAAUAACUAAGAGUAUGAGUACACCUCGUAGAAGAAGUACUCAUAUUAGAGCUCUUGACUUCAGCACUCCACAACCUAAAAAAAAUGCUAUUGAACUGGUACGAUCCAAACUAUUUUUUGACUCGCCAAAAAGAAUCCAAACAAUAUUAGAAGAAUCAUUAACAAGUCCUUUUCCAAAACUUCAAGGUAAUUGGGGAGCAAUUAAUGGUUUUGAGUCUAUUAUUAAGAAAGAUACGGGUAUAUGUUUAAAUUCAAAUACUAAAAGUACAAAUGAGAUAAAAAUAUCUGAACUGAAAUUAGUAAAAAAAAAAAAAUCUCCCAGAAAAAAUAUGACACCAAAAAGAUUAAGUAAUCAUUUAGUGAAUAAUAUAAAUCCAAUAGUUAUUCUUAACAAUGAAGAUUAUGCAAAAUUAGUUUUAACAAAAAAUAAUGUUUUAAGUCAGAAUGAUAAACUUUCUAAUUCAUUAGAAGACUCUCUUAAUAUUGGUAGUUCAAAAAAUUCUUGCCAUUUAAGUUUAAAGCAAAAUAGCCCUGUAAAAAAUAUUGAAAGUAUAGAAUUAAAAAAGUCAUUUGAGAGUUCUAGUCCUAUAAACAAUAAAAUAAGUUCAUUUUAUAAAGAAAAUAACUUUACAGAUAAAAAUAAUGAAGCAUUAAAAAUUAUACCUGCAGAUUGUAAAGUUUAUACUUUACAACAACUAUCUUAUAACAAAGUAGAUUUAUCUAGUUAUAUUAGUACACCAGAAAUAAAGAAAUCUACAAAGGAUAAUAUAGCAAAUAACAUUAUAACAAGUUUGGAGCAAUUAUUAUUAUCAAACAAUUCUAUUAAAACAAAAGAAAACAUAACUAAUCAGGCAAAUUUAUUGAAUCAGCAAAUUGAUAAUUCAAAAUCAACCUUAUUUAACACUCCAGUAAAACCUGAAAGUCCUAUUAAAAUAACUAAAUUUCCUAAAACAUCAAAUGUUGAUAAAAAAUUGGAUAAAAUAAUUAACAAGUCACAGGAAAAUAAAAAAUAUAUAUCAUCAUGUUCUAACAUUUAUUUGCCACUUUGUUCAAAUAAGAUUCAUGAAAAUGAAAAAAAUAGGUCUGUUUCUUAUGAAAAAUUAAAUAACAAGAAUUUGGAUGUUUCUGAAAUGAGUAGCCCUACUAAAUUAAACAAUUGUCAAACAACUAAACUAAGUAAAGUUCAAACUCCAUUUAAGUUCGAUGAACCUGAAACUCCAAUUUCUAAGUUAUUGCGGGAGCAUGAUCCAAGUAAUCUUGUUACACCAAUACCAUCAACACCAGUACAUAAUGAAGCAAGUAUGGAAACUCCACUCUCUAAAAUAUUUAGAGAAACUUCAUACCUAAACCGACCUCCAAUUUCACCAAUCCCUUCAACACCAGUAAACUUAAAGUCUAAUAUCUCAUCAUUGUCUCCACCUAAGGAGCAAAUUAUUACAAAUAAUCCUUUAGUUAAAAUGGCUGGUAUUAAAAGAAGAAUAAAUAAUUUGAAAAAAAAUUCUAUUCAAAGUGUUUCAGUUCAAUGUAAUCAAUCGAUACCUAGAUCACCAUCUGUCGUAAACAAGAAAUCUCCAACUUUAAAAGUCAAAUUAAAAGCUAUUCCUAAAGUAAAAAAUUCUAAAUCUUUUAAGCAUAAAAAUACUAAUGCUAUAAAAGCACAAGUAUAUGAAUCAGUAAAAAUUGAAUUAUUUGGAGGUAAUGAUUCACCUAGUUCAAAUGAUGAUGAAUUGGAAAAAUCUAUGAAUAUUUGUAAAUCAUUAAUUAUAAAUAAAAAAUAUGAAGAAGAGAGAACAUCUGGUUUCAAACCUAUUCCUCGAAGAAAACCUCUUAAAAAUGCCUCUUCAAUAAGUGAUACAAAAAAUAAUUCAAUUGGAAAUCUUAAUUUGGAACUGUCUAAUUUCUCUCCUAAACAUUCAACUAAAAAUCAUACAAACAUUUCAAACUUAUUAAAUGAUCAACAAUCAAAAAAAAAUACAAUGCUUUCCAAUACAUCUGUUAUUAAUGAUUUUAAUCAAAAAUUAACACAAGUAAAUUCUUAUCAAUUGGAAAAUUUUAAGACAAAUAAUAUUGAAACUUCAAUUAAAAGAAGCACUACAAUUCCCAAAAGAAGUCACAAUAAUAGCACCAAUAAUACAUUUAUUAAUUAUAUAUGUAAUAAAGAUACUCAAACAGAAAAGAGUAAUAAAUGUAAAGAAGAUGAUUUCAGUAUUGAAAAAUAUUUUAAAAAUUCAAUAGUUUAUGAAAUAAUUACUGAAGAUGAUGAUCAUGAGGUAAUUUAUCUCUCAUUAUCUCCUAUGUUUAUUUUUCUUGACAUUCCUUCUGAAAUUAUUUCUCAAUCACCAAUUUUACCAUGUAAAAUCAAUAAUUGCUUGAAUGACAGUUCAAAAACCGAAUCAAAUGAAAUGGAAAGUGAUGGUGAUUUUAUUGCAUCUUCAUUUAAUUCAUCUAAAAAAAUAAUGAAUAAAAAAAGACUGGAUAAACAUAAAAGGUCUAGAAGAAGCCCUUCAUUAUGGGAGGAUUCUUAUAACUGUACAUCAAAAUAUAAGACUGAUAAAAGUAAGAAUUCUUCAAACUCCUACAAAAAAUCCUAUAAAGAAGAUUCCAACAAAAUGAAAAUAACUUAUAGGUUAAAUAGAAAGCAUCAUUUUCAUAGUGAUCGUUCUCAGUCAGAAUUCAGAAGAAAAUAUCAAUCUAGUUAUAAAAAAGAUCAUCACUUUAGAGAACAAGAGACACACAAUAUUGAUAGGAACAGAAGAUAUAGUUAUCGAGAUAAUACAAAUUACCACAAUAUUCAUAAACUUAAACAUCAGUAUGAAAGACGUCAUUCUUCUAAUCAAUCGUAUCAUAGUGAUGUUAUAAAUGUAUGCAAAGAUUAUGAGUAUACUAAAAAAGCUACUAAAAGAAGAUAUUUUGAUCGAAGUGACCAUAGCCAGGUAAACAUAUAGGAAUUUUAAUAGUGAUGCACACACCUUUCCACUUAAUGAUUCCCUCAGUUAUAAAGAUAUUACAUCACGUUGACAACUGAUGUAAAAAUUCUGCCAAAUCAUUAUUAGAUUCCACAUAAAAUAACAAAAUCUGAACAUCAAAAACUACCUAAACAUGUUGAUGUGGAUGAUUUUUUAUCAAAAACUCAUGACCGAUUUUGAAGUUUUAUGCAUAUAUUGAAACAUAAAGUA